rnacentral:tRNA from 1 species
UCCUUGGAGGACUAGUGGUUAGGCCACAGCGCUCUCACUGAUGCAGCCCGGGUUCGAUUCCCAGCCAGGGAA